UACAGGGGGUGCAAACGUUGCUCGGAAUUAUUGGGCGUAAAGCGCGCGUAGGCGGCUACUUAAGUCGGAUGUGAAAGCCCUUGGCUCAACUGAGGAAGUGCACCCGAAACUGAGUGGCUUGAGUACUAAAGAGGGUCGCGGAAUUCCCGGUGUAGAGGUGAAAUUCGUAGAUAUCGGGAGGAACACCGGUGGCGAAGGCGGCGACCUGGGUAGAUACUGACGCUGAGACGCGAAAGCGUGGGGAGCAAACAGG
rnacentral:rRNA from 1 species